GACGAACGCUGGCGGCGUGCUUAACACAUGCAAGUCGAACGGAAAGGCCCUGCUUUUGUGGGGUGCUCGAGUGGCAAACGGGUGAGUAACACGUGAGUAACCUGCCCUUGACUUUGGGAUAACUUCAGGAAACUGGGGCUAAUACCGGAUAGGAGCUCCUGCUGCAUGGUGGGGGUUGGAAAGUUUCGGCGGUUGGGGAUGGACUCGCGGCUUAUCAGCUUGUUGGUGGGGUAGUGGCUUACCAAGGCUUUGACGGGUAGCCGGCCUGAGAGGGUGACCGGCCACAUUGGGACUGAGAUACGGCCCAGACUCCUACGGGAGGCAGCAGUGGGGAAUAUUGCACAAUGGGCGGAAGCCUGAUGCAGCAACGCCGCGUGCGGGAUGACGGCCUUCGGGUUGUAAACCGCUUUCGCCUGUGACGAAGCGUGAGUGACGGUAAUGGGUAAAAAAGCACCGGCUAACUACGUG
rnacentral:rRNA from 1 species